rnacentral:rRNA from 1 species
GAUGAACGCUGGCGGCGUGUCUAAGGCAUGCAAGUCGAACGGACUGUUAUUUGUAGCAAUACUUAGAACAGUUAGUGGCAAACGGGUGCGUAACACAUUGGUAACCUGCCUCAAAGUCGGGCAUAAUCCCGCGAAAGUGGGACUAAUUCCACGAUAGUCAUCGAAGGUGAGAUUCCUUCGAUGUAAAGUCGCAAGACGCUUUGAGAGGGGCCUAUGGCCUAUCAGCUUGUUGGUGAGGUAACGGCUCACCAAGGCUAUGACGGGUAGGGGGUGUGAGAGCACGACCCCCCUCACUGGGACUGAGACACUGCCCAGACACCUACGGGUGGCUGCAGUCGAGAAUAUUCCCCAAUGGCCGAAAGGCUGAGGGAGCGACGCCGCGUGCAGGAAUAAGGCCU